rnacentral:rRNA from 1 species
GUAGGUGGCAAGCGUUGUCCGGAAUUAUUGGGCGUAAAGCGCGCGCAGGCGGUUCUUUAAGUCUGAUGUGAAAGCCCACGGCUCAACCGUGGAGGGUCAUUGGAAACUGGAGAACUUGAGUACAGAAGAGGAAAGCGGAAUUCCACGUGUAGCGGUGAAAUGCGUAGAGAUGUGGAGGAACACCAGUGGCGAAGGCGGCUUUCUGGUCUGUAACUGACGCUGAGGCGCGAAAGCGUGGGGAGCAAACAGGAUUAGAUACCCUGGUAGUCCACGCCGUAAACGAUGAGUGCUUAGUGUUAGGGGGUUUCCGCCCCCCUUAGUGCUGCAGCUAACGCAUUAAGCACUCCGCCUGGGAGUACGGCCGCAAGGCUG